UGCGCGCUCUGCUCCGCAGAAUAGCAAGACCUCAGGGGUCCCUGUCGCAAUAGGGUCCCGCGAGUGCGCGUUAGGGGCGAAAAACCAACCACGCCGCGGCAUAGCUAAAUUUCUGCGAAAUAUAUGGAGGUAUAGCGAACAGGACGACGAUAAAAGGAAUUCAAACACCGCGCAGGUAGCAGAA
rnacentral:rRNA from 1 species